AGUUACGCUAUUCAAUACAGCUCGAAUGGACCUUACAACUUUAMACCUUAUCAGUCAGGCAAAGUCCUGAUKGGAAACACGGAUUCAAACACGGUGGUAAAGAAWGAUUUAAAGCCCUUYGUUGCUCAGUUCAUACGAGUCUUCCCUAAAGGSGUUAAAAGSUGGGCAGUGCUCCGAUUGGAGCUUUACGGAUGCAAAAACUAAAAAAGAUUAAUGUAACAUGGAAAAGUCUACCAAGGCAGACCGUAGAAAAGAAAUAAUAAAGGCAAUUGUAGCACAAUAAAAAAAAUAACUUGUCUGCUUAGAAUUAAAUAAAACUAUGAUUAUAAUCA